GUAAUUUCACUUUUACACUGAAAGUGUUUUUUAAAAAAAACCGCCGAAUUGAUCUGAUUGAUCUCAAGCGCCGCUGCCUCAAAGCGACGACGCCAUUUUAUCUUCAGGCGACCGAGACGGUUUAUGGUGUUAUGUUCUUGAGGUGUAGAGAGGCAACGUUAGCCUACAGAAGAGGGGAAAUUUCUAAUGCGGGCUCGAUUUCCUGAAAUAAGAUCCUCUCUCCUUCAUUCCCGCCGAGGCCUGGUUUCACUACGAGUCUGAAGCAGACACAUUUGGGCGGUUUUCUACUCGGAGGAGAGAAUUCAUCAAAUGUAGAAUUGGCCCAGACUUCUGCAGUGUCAAGUGAAGGAAGCUCCUCAUAAGAUUGCAAACCUGGAGUCUGAUGACACUGAGCGAGAGUGAUGGAGUGAGCAGAAUGAUGAAGAUGAAGCCAGAAUUCUCCGUAUUUGAAGUGUGUGUGUGCCUCCUUGGAUUCCCACGUCUCGUCUGCCAGUAUCCCUGGAGAAAAGAGAAGCGAUCACCAGUGUGUCACGACUACCAGUAUUGUUCACCACAAGAUAUCUACUCGCCUCUCAAGAUUGCUAUACUCACCUGUUGUGCUUCACCUGUGAAGCCAAGUUCCUGGCUUUUCCCAAGACCUUCAAGGACACGAUUGACCUCGGAAUCAGCUGUAAAGGAGGACGAAACCGAUGUUUAAGUUUAGACUAUAUUUCAGAAUAAGAUUAUCUAUAUUCUGUAUUCAUGCAUUUUUUGCUGAAGUGGUCAUUUCUGUUAUUUAGAACGGGACAGCGAUUAUUGCAUCAAUUUGUCUCCUACUUCAUUUGGUUCCACCAUCGCCACAAGGCUGCAAGGGGCCUAGAGAAAUGUCCUCCUAUCAAGCUGAAAAACAUCUUCAAAAAGGCACUAACCAGAAAAACACCUUGUAGAGACCACACAGCCGUACCUGCUCGCUGAUGGGACAACGAGGAACAGCAUUCAUGGAUGCUACACAACUGUUGACAAGUAUCUUGCUGCAGUCUUGUUCAAAUCUACCUGUCAUAUUUGUUAAUGUCUAGGUAAAUUUGAUGAUUUUAUGUGUUUUAUUCAGGGUUCCCACGCUUCUUGAAAGUACUUGAAUUUCAGACAUAUGGAUUCAAGGCCUGGAAAGUACUUGAAAACAAAAAUGGGUCCUUGAAAGUGCUUGAAUUUAAAUUUGAGAAAAAUUUAGUUUAUGGCGCUAUUUCAAAAAUUGUCCUAUAUGUGCUGUCAAAGAUGGGGUAGCGCAAAAAAAAAAUCUUGGCGUGUGUUGAUGUGCAGCCUAGUUUUCUUAAGUCGCUCCCGCUGAGUUUCUGACCAUUACCGCCCGCUCCCGCAAACAUUCUAUAUUGUAUAUAAUUUUCGCGCUAAUAAUAUGCGGGGUAUUGAAAUCACAUUUGAGUGAGCGCUCGCAGUUCACUUUCGAUUUCGAUUUUCACUCUGUGUAAAGUGAGCACAUCUUUACAGUGCGUGAAUAAUUAUUGAGUACGUUGAUAUUCUGAUCAUAUUUUUUCCCAAGCACAUUUUACCAAUUCCAAACCACAUCGAUCUUAAUAACUACUAUUAAUUUUGUAUUUAAUCAUUUAUAAGUGAUAUGUAAUUAUCCAUGAAGGCUGGAAGUGAAAAUCUCCUUAUAUUCAUGUGUGCAGAAUUAUUAGGCACGUUUUCUUUUACAGAUAAAAUGAGCCAAAAAGUGAUUUAACUGAAAAGUCAAAAAUGAUUAAAUCCCCAAUGAGAAAUAUUCAAAUAUAAUGCAAUACAGAAAUUGUAAAGUUAAGACAGGUGGAGAAUAAAAAACACAAGGUAACUGCAAAAUAAUUAAGAAUUAAUGUGAAGAAUUAGGUGUAAACCAUCAAACCUUUAUUCUUCAGCGCCACCAUUUUCAGAACUGCAACCUUCCUGGAGUCUCCAGAAUUACAAUGUGUCAAGUUCUCAGAGACUUUGCUUGGGUAAAAAAUCCUAAAAAAUGACCCUUACUUAAUAAGACUAACAUGCUGAAGUGUUGUGAAAUACAUGAAGACUAAUUUUUAUAGACUGAUAAGUUGAGAGUGACUCUUGGAGGACCAGCACCACAUCCUCGUGUAGCACUGUUUGAAGAAUUUAUCUUCCAGAAUAGCAGUAAGUUUUAGGAGCUCAUUUUUAGUCAAUCACUGCAAGACAGACUUUUCAGGACAGGAGAUGGACUAAAAAUGAGCUCCCAAAACUUACUGCGACAUGGAGAACUUGAAAAAUAAGAAAAACAGCUUAGUACAGUUUAAAAACAAAUAGAAAGUCCUAUUUUUUUUUUUUUUUUCUUUUUUUUUGCAGAUUUGCACAUGCACAAGGUUUAAAAUGUUCAUGACAUAUUUUUAAAAAAUAUUGAAAUUUUGAGCAGCUGCAUGUUUGAGCACUUGCAUUCCUCUAGGUCAAAGAUGAAAAAAUGGGAUUUACAAAAUAAUUUUGACUUGAGUUAUUUAUUAAUGAGUAAUGUCUCUAUUGGUGGUGGUUGAGGAGAUCC